rnacentral:lncRNA from 1 species
UCUGUCAGUAAAAGUGAAAGAAGAAAGUGUCUGAAAUCCCAGCUACUCCGGAGGCUGAGGCAGAAGAAUCGCUUGAAUCCGGGAGGCGAAUGUUGCAAUGAGCCGAGAUCGUGCCACUGCACUCCAGCCUGGGCGACAGAGCAAGACUCUGUCUCAAAAAAGGAAACAAACAAAAAAAAGAAAGUGAAUUGGCCACCUUUUCAGAGCAACCCCGUGGGCCAGGGCUUUUUCCUUCCAUCGCAAGGGAAAUGGUGAACUUGGCGGGUGGGGUUGGAGGCAGUGGUCCAGAUAUGUGAUGAAUGCCUCGAAAAGAAGUGAACAUUGCCUCAUUUCUUCCUUCUGGAGUGCUGUCCGUAAGAGUUUCCGAGGCCAUUGGUAGCUGCAGAACCCCUUUUGAAAUAAAAUCUUAUACAAGCCCCAGUAUACAAAGGCAGGUAAAAAGGGAGCUAGAUUGGUUUGGGGGACUUUGAGAAAUCUUAGCUGAUGGAUUUUACAAUGUUGUUAAAAUGCCCAGUGAAGAGAGAAAGGCAUGUGAAUUCAUCUUCCAAAGCCCAUGGUGAAAUGUGAGACAAAAUAUCCACUCUAAAAAAUUAGCAAUCAGGCUGGGUGCAGCAUUUCUGUUGGAAGACAUUUCUGGAGGCCAAGGUGGGGUGAUCACUUGAAGUCAGGAGUUCAAGCCCAGCCCAGCCAACAUGGUGAAACCCUGUCUCUACUACAAAUACAAAAAUUAGCUGAGCACAGUGGUGCAUGCCUGUAGUCCCAGCUACUCAGGAGGCUGAGGCAGGAGAAUGGCUUGGACCCAUGAGGUGGAGGUUGCAGUGAGUGGAGAUUGUGCCACUGCACUCCAGCCGGGGUGACAGAGCAAGACGUCUCAAAAAAAAAAAAAAAAUUAGCAGUCAGAUGGCACUGACUUCUUUUAUUGAUUUUCCAGAAUGCUCUCUUCAAAGCCUACACGUUUUCAUCUUUGGGUUCAGUUUUCUUGAGGGCAAAACUAGUGCCUAAUUAAGUCUUAUUUUUGUGUCUGAUUAUCUUUAACACCCUUGAAAAGUGUUUGCCAGUUUUCUAGAAAAAAAUUGAUGACUUGCUCCUCCGCUGGUUCUGCUGACUUGCUGUUUUGGAAGAGAUGUUUUUCUUGUUUUUCUUUUCAUUGGUGUCAAGGGAGAUGGAAACAGUGAGGGCUUUAACCUCUUCUCCUCUUUGCCAGGCUAGGAAGACCCAGUUGAGACAGCGGACACUAGAGCAGCCUGGAAGGGAACACCUGCCUACGAAGCCCCUAGGAGCAUGAGGUGUUUCCUCCCACAGCUUCCUGUCCUGCCCAGGGCUAAGAGGACAAGACUGGCAGAAGGACAACCAGCAAUGCUGAGGGACUGUGGCUCAAGGCACUGAUGUCAUUGCCUUGGGUUGCAGGAGUCUAACUCUGUCACCUAGGCUGGAGUGCAGUGGAGCAAUUGCGGCUCACUGCAGCCUCAACUUCCUGGGCUCAAGCAAUCCUCCCACCUCAGCCUCAUGAGUAGCUUGGACUACAGUGCCCGAGGGGCAAAACUGCAGCAGAGUGGCUCCUGUAUCCUCAGCACUCAACAUGGACCCCGUUGUUGGUGUUCAAGAAACAUUUGAGGAGCUGCACUUACUUGGAAUGAGAAAAAGUUACACCCAUGACCUCCAGUCUGUCCCUUCAGGAGAUAAAGCGAGUCUGUGACAUGGCCACAGAUGCCUGCAGUCCCAGCCCCCUGGCCAGAAGCAUUUCUGUAGGUUACAGCUGAGAGCCUUCAGCCAGACAGGGUCUCUCUCUCUGUCACCCAGGCUGGACUGCACUGGCAUGAUCUUGGCUCACUGCAACCUCUGCUCCCCAGGCUCAAGUGAUCCUCCUACCUCAGCCUCCCAAAGUGCUGG